rnacentral:rRNA from 1 species
UACGUAGGCAGCAAGCGUUGUUCGGAGUUACUGGGCGUAAAGGGUGUGUAGGCGGUUGUUUAAGUUUGGUGGGAAAUCUCCCGGCUCAACUGGGAGGGUGCGCCGAAUACUGAAUGACUUCGAGUGCGGGAGAGGAAAGUGGAAUUCCUGGUGUAGCGGUGAAAUGCGUAGAUAUCAGGAGGAGCACCGGUGGUGUAGACGGCUUUCUGGACCGUAACUGACGCUGAGACACGAAAGCGUGGGUAGCAAACAGG